rnacentral:rRNA from 1 species
GAUGAACGCUAGCGGCAGGCUUAACACAUGCAAGUCGAGGGGCAGCACGGGUAGCAAUACUUGGUGGCGACCGGCGCACGGGUGAGUAACGCGUAUGCAAUCUACCUCUAACUGGGGAAUAGCUCCCGGAAACGGAAAUUAAUACCCCAUAUUAUCACGAAUUCGCAUGUUUUUGUGAUGAAAGCCCCCGGCGGUUAGAGAUGAGCAUGCGUACCAUUAGUUUGUUGGUGAGGUAACGGCUCACCAAGACUACGAUGGUUAGGGGGUCUGAGAGGAUGAUCCCCCACACUGGUACUGAGACACGGACCAGACUCCUACGGGUGGCUG